rnacentral:misc_RNA from 1 species
AACGGUCUAUACCUGCGGACCUGCGGAGGGAUCAUUAAUGAGAAACUGCCCCUCGCGGGUAGAUCUCCCACCCUUUGUAAACUUACCUUUGUUGCUUUGGCAGGCCCGUCUCCGGACCGCCGGCUUCGGCUGGCCAGUGCCUGCCAGAGGAUUCUAAAACUCUGUCUGUCAGUGUUGUCUGAGUCUAUAUACAAUCGUUAAAACUUUUAACAACGGAUCUCUAGAUCGGAAGAGCACACG